GAGCCUGGCUGCACCUCUCUUAGACCUUAUUUAAGGGCUGACUGCCAGCGGGGAAAGAUCUUUUUCUGCAGAUCCCUUCUUGGUGAAGCUUUCCCCUGUGAAUCUGGAAUCUUCUGUUGUAGGCUCAGCGGAUAAUGGGGACGGCUCUUUCCUAGGGCUUUCCUGUGAGCUCUGCUUCAAGGGCAAGGGAAAAUCAGCCUCUUCACUGACUGGAUGCUGAUGGAAACAGAUGAGAGAGCCACACGCACAUGGGAGGAAUUCAUGAGGAUCAGUGACAUGGCAAUGAAUACUAAAUGCAG